ensembl:lncRNA
GAGGGGCAGUCAGAUCUCUUAGCAAACUGUAUGUUUUUGGGCCAAUUAAACUCAACAACGCUGGUACUCUUUUGUUAUCAGCAAUGUCGUUUGCAAUGAAGUACUGUUCCAGUCGUUCAAUGUAACUUGCCCAGUUUUCUUGCGUGUCAUCAAACACAUCUAUUUUCCCGAUGCUAGCCAUUCUCUUUACCUCCGGCUCCACGGGUCUUUGAUCUGCUGCCUCGUUGUCGUCAGCUCUCCCCAAAACGAGAUUUCAAGGACUAGCAGAGGACUGGAGACCACAGCAGCGAUUCUGCUCUUGCCCAACCUCUUCAAAGAGGAGCCAAGUGGCCUUUAUGUCCGUGACAAGGUAUGCCUAUGCACCAAUCAUCUGUUUCUUCAUAAACAUAAGUGUGCAUGCUUAUAUAAAACUACAGCUGAACAUUUGUUAUGUUCUUUGUUAAUUGUAUGUGUAUUAAUCUUUUCUUACUUUUGUUGACACAGAUUUCACCGCUCUUCACUCCUUUACUGCACAUCGGC